GAUGAACGCUGGCGGCGUGCCUAAUACAUGCAAGUCGAGCGAACAGACGAGGAGCUUGCUCCUCCGACGUUAGCGGCGGACGGGUGAGUAACACGUGGAUAACCUACCUAUAAGACUGGGAUAACUUCGGGAAACCGGAGCUAAUACCGGAUAAUAUAUCGAACCGCAUGGUUCAAUAGUGAAAGACGGUUUUGCUAUCACUUAUAGAUUGAUCCGCGCCGCAUUAGCUAGUUGGUAAGGUAACGGCUUACCAAGGCAACGAUGCGUAGCCGACCUGAGAGGGUGAUCGGCCACACUGGAACUGAGACACGGUCCAGACUCCUACGGGAGGCAGCAGUAGGGAAUCUUCCGCAAUGGGCGAAAGCCUGACGGAGCAACGCCGCGUGAGUGAUGAAGGUCUUCGGAUCGUAAAACUCUGUUAUUAGGGAAGAACAAAUGUGUAAGUAACUGUGCACGUCUUGACGGUACCUAAUCAGAAAGCCACGGCUAACUACGUG
rnacentral:rRNA from 1 species